UACGUAGGGGCCGAGCGUUGUCCGGAGUUACUGGGCGUAAAGCGCGCGCAGGCGGCUCGUCAAGCCUGACGUGAAAGCCCCCGGCUCAACCGGGGAGGGUCGUCGGGGACUGGCGGGCUUGAGGUCGGCAGGGGUUGGUGGAAUUCCCGGUGUAGUGGUGAAAUGCGUAGAGAUCGGGAGGAACACCGUGGCGAAGGCGGCCAACUGGGCCGGACCUGACGCUGAGGCGCGAAGGCGUGGGGAGCGAACGGG
rnacentral:rRNA from 1 species